UACGGGGGGGGGCAAGCGUUGUUCGGAAUUACUGGGCGUAAAGGGUUCGUAGGUGGCUUGCUAAGUCAGACGUGAAAUCCCUCAGCUUAACUGGGGAACUGCGUCUGAGACUGGUGAGCUUGAAUGCAGGAGAGGAACGCGGAAUUCCAGGUGUAGCGGUGAAAUGCGUAGAUAUCUGGAGGAACACCGGUGGCGAAGGCGGCGUUCUGGACUGCGAUUGACACUGAGGAACGAAAGCCAGGGGAGCAAA
rnacentral:rRNA from 1 species